UGGGGGAUAUUGCGCAAUGGGGGAAACCCUGACGCAGCAACGCCGCGUGAAGGAUGAAGGUCUUCGGAUCGUAAACUUUUGUCUUUGGGGACGAAACAAAUGACGGUACCCAAGGAGGAAGCCACGGCUAACUACGUGCCAGCAGCCGCGGUAAUACGUAGGUGGCAAGCGUUGUCCGGAUUUACUGGGUGUAAAGGGCGUGUAGGCGGGAUGGCAGGUCAGAUGUGAAAUACCCGGGCUUAACCCGGGGGCUGCAUUUGAAACCUCCGUUCUUGAGUGUCGGAGAGGAAAGCGGAAUUCCUAGUGUAGCGGUGAAAUGCGUAGAUAUUAGGAGGAACACCAGUGGCGAAGGCGGCUUUCUGGACGAUAACUGACGCUGAGACGCGAAAGCGUGGGGAGC
rnacentral:rRNA from 1 species